rnacentral:rRNA from 1 species
AACCUUUACACUGCACGACAGUGCGAUAGGGGGACCCCGAGUGCGAGGGCAUAGAGCCCUCGCUUUUGUACACCGUAAGGUGGUGUACGAAUAAGAACUGGGCAAGACCGGUGCCAGCCGCCGCGGUAAUACCGGCAGUUCGAGUGAUGGCCGAUUUUAUUGGGCCUAAAGCGUUCGUAGCUGGCCGAUCAAGUCUGUCGGGAAAUCUGCUCGCCUAACGAGCAGGCGUCCGGCGGAAACUGAUCGGCUUGGGACCGGAAGACUCGAGGGGUACGUCCGGGGUAGGAGUGAAAUCCUGUAAUCCUGGACGGACCACCGAUGGCGGAAGCACCUCGAGAGCACGGAUCCGACAGUGAGGAACGAAAGCUGGGGUCUCGAACCGGAUUAGAUACCCGGGUAGUCCCAGCUGUCAACGAUGCCCGCUAGGUAUGGCGCAGGCUACGAGCCUGUGCUAUGCCGUAGCGAAGGCGCUAAGCGGGCCGCCUGGGAAGUACGUUCGCAAGAAUGAAACUUAA